UUUGUCUUCGAAGAGGUUGCUGGGUUUUCGAAGAGUUGUGUGUUUAAUUUGGGUAUAUCUUUGGUAACAUGAAAGAAGAUGUCAAAAUUGUUUGAACUUUAAACAUUUAGUAUUGAAAAAGAUAAAAUUUGAAAGGAAGCUAUUUCUGCAAUUUUGGUUUUAGUUUUGAGUUUAGGAUCA